UCUUGAUUGGUCUAGUGGUUAGGAUACCUGCUUGUCAUUGCACAGCACCGCAGGUGGCCGGGGUUCGAUUCCCCGAUCGAGAG